GGGUUUGUGGCUCAGUGGUAGAGCGCAUGCUUCACACGUGUGAGGUAUUGGGUUGGAUCCUCAGAACCA
rfam:Ictidomys tridecemlineatus contig013089, whole genome shotgun sequence.